GGAGGGGUUCCCGAGUGGCCAAAGGGGGCAGACUGUAAAUCUGUUGGCUCAGCCUUCGAAGGUUCAAAUCCUUCCCCCUCCACCA
rnacentral:tRNA from 1 species